GUUGUUGCUGGUUUCUCUUUUGGAACAAUGUGCACACUUGUCAUCUUUAUAUCUCCACCUGUGCACCUUUUGUAGACCUGGAUAUUUCUCUCAGUGGCUAGCCACUCAGGUUUGAGGAUUGACUUUAUUGUCUCUCCUUACAUUUCCAGGCCUAUGUUUUCUUCAUAUACCCCAAUGUAUGUCUCAGAAUGUAAUCAAAUGGGCCUUUGUGCCUAUAAACCUAUACAACUUUCAGCAACGGAUCUCUUGGCUCUCGCAUCGAUGAAGAACGCAGCGAAAUGCGAUAAGUAAUGUGAAUUGCAGAAUUCAGUGAAUCAUCGAAUCUUUGAACGCACCUUGCGCUCCUUGGUAUUCCGAGGAGCAUGCCUGUUUGAGUGUCAUUAAUAUAUCAACCUCUUCAACUUUUUGAAAAGUGUUGGAUAUGGGGGGUUUUGUUUUGCUGGUCUUUUUCACAAAGGUCAGCUCCCCUGAAAUGUAUUAGCGGAACAUUUUGUGGACCGUUCAUUGGUGUGAUAACUAUCUACGCUAUUGACGUGAAACAAGUUCAGCUUCUAACAGUCCAUUGACUUGGACAAAUUUUU
rnacentral:rRNA from 1 species